UACGAAGGGUGCAAGCGUCAAUCGGAAUUACUGGGCGUAAAGCGUGCGCAGGCGGUUUUGUAAGUCUGACGUGAAAUCCCCGGGCUCAACCUGGGAAUUGCGUUGGAGACUGCAAGGCUAGAAUCUGGCAGAGGGGGGUAGAAUUCCACGUGUAGCAGUGAAAUGCGUAGAGAUGUGGAGGAACACCGAUGGCGAAGGCAGCCCCCUGGGUCAAGAUUGACGCUCAUGCACGAAAGCGUGGGGAGCAAACAGG
rnacentral:rRNA from 1 species